rnacentral:rRNA from 1 species
AGAGUUUGAUCAUGGCUCGAGGACGAACGCUGGCGGCACGCUUAACACAUGCAAGUCGAACGGAGUUAUUCGGAGCUUGCUCUGAAUAACUUAGUGGCGGACGGGUGAGUAACACGUGAGCAACCUGCCUUUGAGAGUGGAAUAGCUUCUGGAAACGGAUGGUAAUACCGCAUAAUAUUAUCUGACCGCAUGAUCGGAUAAUCAAAGAUUUAUCGCUCAAAGAUGGGCUCGCGGCUGAUUAGAUAGUUGGUGGGGUAACGGCCUGCCAAAGCGACGAUCAGUAGCCGGCCUGAGAGGGCGGACGGCCACAUUGGGACUGAGACACGGCCCAAACUCC